rnacentral:rRNA from 1 species
GAGGCCGAGAGGCGUAGUCGAUGCACAUACGGUUGAAAUUCCGUAGCCACCUUAUCGAAUGAAAGCUGACACUUGGAAAUAGCGGGACCCGGAGAUUGGUAGAUCCGGGCGUAAGGGACCGAACACGAGUAGGGAAGUCCGCGAUGUUCUGAGGCGAGAAAAGGCGAAGGUAGGGUGCCCGUACCGCAAACCGACACAGGUAGAUGAGGAGAGAAUCCUAAGGCCAACGGGAGAAGGGUUGUUAAGGAACUCGGCAAAAUGACCCCGUAACUUCGGGAUAAGGGGAGCCUGCGCGAGCAGGCCGCAGAGAAUAGGCCCAAGCGACUGUUUACCAAAAACACAGGUCUAUGCUAAAUCGAAAGAUGACGUAUAUGGGCUGACGCCUGCCCGGUGCUGGAAGGUUAAGAGGAGAUGUCAGGCAACGAAGCAUUGAAUCGAAGCCCCAGUAAACGGCGGCCGUAACUAUAACGGUCCUAAGGUAGCGAAAUUCCUUGUCAGGUAAGUUCUGACCCGCACGAAUGGCGUAACGAUUUGGGCGCUGUCUCAACAGCCCACCCGGCGAAAUUGUUGUACUGGUGAAGAAGCCAGUUACCCGCAACUAGACGGAAAGACCCCAUGGAGCUUUACUGCAGCUUAAUACUGGAAUUCGGUAAUUCAUGUACAGGAUAGGUGGGAGACAUGGAAGUACGGUCGUCAGGCCGUAUGGAGUCGCCCUUGGGAUACCACUCUUGGAUUGCUGGGUUUCUAACCUGCGGCCGUGAAUCCGGUCGGGGGACACUGUUAGGCAGACAGUUUGACUGGGGCGGUCGCCUCCUAAAAGGUAACGGAGGCGCUCAAAGGUUGGCUCAGCACGGACGGAAAUCGUGCGGUGAGUGUAAACGUAUAAGCCAGCCUAACUGCGAGAGCGACGGGUCGAGCAGUAACGAAAGUUGGAGUUAGUGAUCCGGUGGUAUGUGAGUGGAAAUGCCAUCGCUCAACGGAUAAAAGCUACCCUGGGGAUAACAGGCUGAUCUCCCCCAAGAGUCCACAUCGACGGGGAGGUUUGGCACCUCGAUGUCGGCUCAUCACAUCCUGGGGCUGUAUUCGGUCCCAAGGGUUCGGCUGUUCGCCGAUUAAAGUGGCACGCGAGCUGGGUUCAGAACGUCGUGAGACAGUUCGGUCCCUAUCUGUUGCGGGCGUAAGAGAUUUGAAGGGGGCUGUCCUUAGUACGAGAGGACCGGGAUGGACGCACCUCUGGUGCACCUGUUGUCGUGCCAACGGCAUAGCAGGGUAGCUAAGUGCGGACGAGAUAAACGCUGAAAGCAUCUAAGCGUGAAACUUUCCCUAAGAUAAGAUCUCUCAUCCUUCGAGGAGUAAGGCACGACAGAGACUAUGUCGUAGAUAGGCCGGAGGUGGAAGUGCAGUAAUGUAUGGAGCUGACCGGUACUAAUCAGCCGAGGGCUUGACCU